GAGAAGGGGCGUGGUAUUUUGCUCGAAAGGCGGGGUUUGGGUGAAACUGAGCCAAUUGCAAUUGAAGAGCCGGACUGAAGGCAGCAGCAAACGCUCAGCCAAUGGAAGGGGACAUAGGAGUAAAGGAGGCGUGACCAGGAUGGAGCGACUCCGCACGCGCUGGAGCCCACGUGACAGGACUGCACAGCUACAUGCCUGGCGGCUGCUCGAAGCCAAGCGCGCUGAGAGGCAGGAACGUGGUUAGCACGAGCUCGCGCUGCGCCAAGUCUCGCGACACUUCUCAGCCGCGCGAAGACCAGUUAAUCUCGCGCCUGCGCACGGCUUAUCCCGUGCCUUCCCGCGUUUUUUUCUAAGGCUUAACCGCCCGCCACCAGAGGAAGAAGAGCAGCUGCGGCGGGCGUCUCGCGACCGAGGUGGGAUGUCCACUGAGACCUGAAAGGACCUCUGAGGUGGUGACCUUUCUUCAGCCGUGUUCAUCUAAAGCUGGAUUAACAUGCCUACUCUGUGGUCACCUUCUACCCAGCACCAUGGCUCUUCCUCAGGCAGUGAGUCUUCCCCACUUCAAAAGUCUGUGAGACGUGCACAGAUGGCCUUGUCUCCUUGUUCCUCCUCCAUCCUACCCUGUGAUGACAGAGACUCACAGGGAACUGCAGAGUGGGAUAGUCCCUCAACUAACGAAGACAGCGACUUUGAAGACAGCUUAAGACGAAAUGUGAAGAAGAGAGCAGCAAAGCAACCACCCAAAGCUGUUCCAGCAGCAAAACAUCGGAAGAAGCAGUCCCGAAUAGUAUCUAGUGGGAAUGGCAAGAAUGAAUCAGUGCCAUCAACCAAUUACCUUUUUGAUGCUGUGAAAGCUGCUAGAAGUUGCAUGCAGUCUUUGGUGGAUGAGUGGCUAGAUAACUACAAGCAAGAUGAAAAUGCAGGAUUCUUGGAGCUCAUUAAUUUUUUCAUCCGAGCCUGUGGAUGUAAAAGCACUGUGACUCCUGAGAUGUUCAAGACAAUGUCCAAUUCAGAGAUCAUCCAACACCUAACGGAAGAGUUUAAUGAGGACUCGGGGGACUAUCCCCUGACAGCUCCAGGUCCCUCCUGGAAGAAGUUCCAGGGAAGCUUCUGUGAGUUUGUGAAGACAUUGGUCUAUCAGUGCCAGUACAGUCUCCUCUAUGAUGGCUUUCCUAUGGAUGACCUUAUCUCCCUGCUCAUUGGCCUCUCAGAUUCCCAGGUCCGAGCCUUUCGUCAUACUAGUACCCUGGCUGCCAUGAAGCUAAUGACUUCUCUGGUAAAAGUUGCACUCCAGUUGAGUCUGCACAAAGACAACAAUCAACGUCAGUAUGAGGCUGAACGAAACAAGGGGCCAGAGCAGAGAGCACCGGAACGACUGGAGAGUCUGCUGGAGAAACGAAAAGAGUUCCAAGAGAAUCAAGAGGACAUAGAGGGGAUGAUGAAUGCCAUCUUCAGAGGUGUCUUUGUCCAUCGGUACAGGGACAUCCUUCCUGAGAUCCGCGCUAUCUGCAUUGAGGAGAUUGGGUAUUGGAUGCAAAGCUACAGCACCUCCUUUCUUAAUGACAGCUACCUAAAAUACAUCGGCUGGACCCUGCAUGAUAAGCACAAGGAAGUUCGCCUGAAGUGUGUGAAGGCUCUGGCAGGGCUGUACAGCAACCAGGAGCUGAGCUUACGGAUGGAGCUCUUUACAAAUCGCUUCAAGGACCGGAUGGUUUCCAUGGUCAUGGACAGAGAGUGUGAAGUAGCAGUGGAGGCCAUCAGAUUGCUGACCCUUAUUCUGAAGAACAUGGAGGGAGUGCUGACUAGUGCAGACUGUGAGAAAAUUUACUCCAUUGUAUACAUUUCUAAUCGUGCUAUGGCCUCUUCUGCAGGGGAAUUUGUGUAUUGGAAGAUCUUCCAUCCUGAAUGUGGGGCAAAAGCAGUGAGUGAUAGAGAGCGACGCCGGAGUCCACAAGCCCAGAAGACUUUCAUUUAUCUUUUACUGGCCUUCUUUAUGGAGAGUGAGCAUCACAACCAUGCUGCUUACUUAGUAGACAGCUUGUGGGACUGUGCGGGGUCUUACCUGAAGGACUGGGAGAGUCUGACAAACCUGUUGCUGCAGAAAGACCAGAAUCUGGGUGAUAUGCAAGAGAGAAUGCUGAUAGAAAUCCUUGUGUCUAGUGCCCGGCAAGCUGCAGAGGGUCACCCUCCAGUGGGGCGCAUCACUGGAAAGAAGAGUCUGACGGCCAAAGAACGCAAGCUUCAAGCCUAUGAUAAGAUGAAGCUGGCUGAGCACCUCAUCCCCCUCUUGCCCCAGCUCCUUGCCAAGUUCUCAGCAGAUGCAGAGAAUGUUGCUCCCUUGCUCCAGCUGCUCAGUUACUUUGACCUCAGCAUAUAUUGCACUCAGCGCUUGGAAAAGCACUUGGAGCUGCUUCUGCAACAACUCCAGGAGGUGGUGGUGAAGCAUGUAGAGCCUGAGGUGCUUGAGGCAGCAGCCCAUGCCCUCUAUCUGCUCUGCAAACCAGAGUUCACCUUCUUCAGCAGAGUGGACUUUGCCAGAAGCCAAUUAGUAGAUUUUCUGACUGAUAGAUUCCAGCAGGAGCUUGAUGACCUAAUGCAGUCAUCCUUCCUAGAUGAGGAUGAGGUAUACAGCCUGACAGCCACCCUGAAGCGUCUCUCUGCCUUUUACAAUGCUCAUGACCUGACCCGAUGGGAGAUCUCUGAACCAUGUUCUCGACUCCUCCGGAAGGCUGUAGACACAGGAGAAGUUCCUCACCAGGUGAUUUUGCCAGCCUUGACUCUGGUAUAUUUUUCCAUUCUCUGGACAGUAACCCACAUUUCAGAGUCUACUUCUCAUAAGCAGCUGAUGAGUCUGAAGAAAAGAAUGGUAGCCUUCUGUGAGCUUUGCCAAAGCUGCCUCUCAGACGUGGACCCAGAGAUCCAGGAGCAGGCUUUUGUCUUAUUAAGUGACCUGCUUCUCAUCUUCAGCCCUCAGAUGAUUGUAGGGGGACGGGAUUUCCUUAGGCCUCUUGUCUUUUUUCCGGAAGCUACUCUCCAGUCGGAACUAGCCAGCUUCCUCAUGGACCAUGUCUUUCUCCAGCCUGGAGAACUGGGCAACGGUCAGUCACAGGAGGAUCACGUCCAGAUAGAACUUCUGCACCAGAGGCGCCGCCUGCUUGCAGGAUUUUGUAAGCUGCUGCUUUAUGGGGUAUUGGAGCUGGAUGCAGCCUCAGACGUUUUCAAACACUACAACAAGUUCUAUGAAGACUAUGGUGACAUUAUCAAGGAAACAUUAACUCGAGCAAGACAAAUUGACAGAUGUCAGUGCUCUCGGAUCCUGCUCCUGAGCCUAAAGCAGCUCUACACAGAACUGAUACAGGAGCAGGGCCCCCAGGGCCUGACAGAACUGCCAGCCUUCAUUGAGAUGAGAGACUUGGCUCGGAGGUUUGCCUUGAGCUUUGGACCCCAGCAGCUCCAUAACCGAGAUCUUGUGGUCAUGCUGCACAAGGAAGGCAUCAAGUUCUCAUUGUCUGAGCUUCCUCCUGCUGGUUCUUCUCAUGAGCCCCCAAAUCUUGCAUUCCUGGAGCUUCUUUCAGAGUUCUCCCCUCGCCUCUUCCAUCAGGACAAGCGGCUACUACUAUCCUACCUGGAAAAGUGUCUGCAGCGUGUCUCCAAGGCACCUAACCAUCCCUGGGGUCCAGUCACCACCUACUGCCACUCCCUUCACCCUCUAGAGAUCACAGCAGAGGCCAGCCCUCGUGGACCCCCCCACUCCAAGAAGAGGUGUGUUGAAGGCCCCUGCAGGCCUCAGGAAGAAGAGUCCUCAUCCCAGGAAGAAAGCCUUCAGCUGAACAGUGGCCCCACAACCCCUACCCUCACCUCCACCGCAGUGAAGAGGAAGCAGUCUCUGAGGACAGUGGGCAAGAAGCAAAAAGGUAGACCAGGACCAGGACCAGGACCAGGACCAGAGCUGAUCUGCAGUCAGCAACUCUUAGGCACCCAGAGGUUGAAGAUGUCGAGUGCACCAUGUUUCCAGAUUCGAUGUGAUCCUUCAGGCUCUGGCUUGGGCAAGCAGCUGACCCGACUCAGCCUUAUGGAAGAAGAUGAGGAAGAAGAGCUAAGACUUCUGGAUGAAGAAUGGCAACGUGGAGACAAGGUCUGGACCCAGCAGUCCCUUCUCCUAGAAUGUAGAGCCGGAGACACCUAUUCUCAGUCUUCAUGAUGACCUUUUUUUAAAAAAUAUUUUUAAUUAGAUGCUUCAUAGCCCUUCUUCUCCCAGUGAGCAUGGGUUGGACCUAUUAGAUACAACAGAGCUGAACAUGGAGGAUUUCUGAUGGGACUUUAGGCCUCUCCCCUUCUCCACUUACCACUGCAAGUCCUUGAGUGAGCAGAAGGAAGGAGUAAAAUGAAGCAUUCUUUGGGUCCUAGCCAAGUACUUUAAAGGAAAAGAGAAAUGGCCUUAUUUUUCAAAUCUCUAUUUCUUUCUGAAGUGGGUGCUAUAUAUAGAUGCUAUGAGCCUUGUCAUCCUUAAUGCGCCAUCGCUUUAUGCUUUUGCCUGUUUGCAGUGAUAGGAGUUGGGUAGGGAGGGCUUUACGUCAGCACUGAAGUUUAGUAAAACUUCUAUUUGAUAUUUUGUCCCCAAACACUGCCAAACUUUCAAUAAACAUGUUCAGCUAUCUCAUAGGUA